AACGAACGCUGGCGGCAUGCCUAACACAUGCAAGUCGAACGAGACCUUCGGGUCUAGUGGCGCACGGGUGCGUAACGCGUGGGAACCUGCCCUUAGGUUCGGAAUAACUCCCCGAAAGGGGUGCUAAUACCGGAUAAUGUCUUCGGACCAAAGAUUUAUCGCCUUUGGAUGGGCCCGCGUUGGAUUAGCUAGUUGGUAGGGUAAAAGCCUACCAAGGCGACGAUCCAUAGCUGGUCUGAGAGGAUGAUCAGCCACACUGGGACUGGGACACGGCCCAGACUCCUACGCGAGGCAGUAGUGGGGAAUAUUGUACCAUGGGCGAAAGCCUGAUCCAGCCAUGCCGCGUGAGUGAUGAAGUCCUUAGGGUUGUAAAGCUCUUUUACCCGGGAUGAUAAUGACAGUACCGGGAGAAUAAGCUCCGGCUAACUCCGUG
rnacentral:rRNA from 1 species